UUUAUAUAAAGUCUGGUCUGCUCACUGAGUUUUAAAGAGCCGCAGUAUUUUGACUGUGCGAAGGUAGCAUAAUAAUUAGUUUCUUUAUUGGGAACUGGUAUGAAUGGUUGGACGAGAAAAUGACUGUCUCUUUCUGAUUUGAUUGAAUUUUACUUUUAAGUUAAAAGGCUUAAAUUUUUUUGAAAGACGAGAAGACCCUAUAGAGUUUUAUUUUUGGAUUUUUAUUAAUUUUAGGUAUUUAAUAUUUUAUGAAUUUUGAAAAUUUGAUUGGGGUGAUUGAAAAAUUGAUUAAACUUUUUUUUUAUUUUUACAAAUUUAAUUGAGUAUGUGAUCCAUAUUUUGUGAUUAUAAGAUUAAAUUACCUUAGGGAUAACAGCGUAAUCUUUCUUGAGAGUUCUUAUCGAUAGAAGGGGUUGCG
rnacentral:rRNA from 1 species